rnacentral:miRNA from 1 species
UACGGAAUAUUGUUGGAACCA